AUGGUCUCGGCUGCUACUUCAUCUGGUGUUGCAAGCAUUAAAGUUCCUUUUAGCUUCAGCAUAUGACCCUUCAACAAAAUUCAUAAUUUCUAAGAUUCAGUAUUAAACUCCAUAAUCUAAUACACAAAUAGUUAUUUAUUUAAGAGUUGAUAAAACCGUCAUGAGUUACUAAUAGUCCACCUCUGGGGCUGCAAACUAACCGAACGUUCAGCGAACAAUUCGUGAACCGUUCAGCAGGAAGUUCGUUUGUGUUCAUUCAUUUAAUAAAUGAACGAACACAAACAACAAAUUUCGUUCGUUUAGUUAAAUGUUCGAACACAAACAACAAAUUUCGUUCAUUUAGUUAAAUGAACGAACAUGAACAUAUGUCGUGUUUGUUCAUUUAUGCUCGUGAACACCUUGGUAACGUGUUUGUUUAUGUUCGUUUGUGUUCAAUAGUCCGUUAGUGUUUUAAAUUCUGACAAAUACAAUACUUAGUAUCAGUGUAUUAUAUAUUUUGCUCAUGAACGUUUGUUUGUGUUCAUCUUCUGUUUUCAUUUGUGUUCAUGAACAUUGUUUGUGU
rnacentral:lncRNA from 1 species